UUUGACAAUACGUUUGUGCUUGUCAUAUGACGUGUCGAAUUGACGAAGACCCGUCCCACCUUCUCCCUCGUAACGCAAUAAUCUCUCUUCAUUUUAUAACAUAAAUUCUUGGUUGCAGAGCAGAACAAGGGCCUAAAACUCAACACUACACCAUAGUAUAAGCAGAAAUUCGAGAUUUGUUUGACUGUAAUGGAUGAAGAUGAAGAUGUACAGGAUUGAGCAGAGUCUAGCAUUUCAGGUGAAAAGCAGUGAAAAUCAAAGGCCAUUGAAGGAUUUGAUGUUAAGGUAUUUUAGUUUAAGGGGGGUGAUUAUAAUGGUUUUGUUAACUUUAUCACUCUUGGUGUUGCCACUGUUUCUGCCACCACUUCCGCCGCCGCCGCCAGUUCUCCUCCUCGUCCCAGUUUUGAUCAUGUUUUUGCUGAUAUUCUUGGCCUUUUCCCCAUAACAAGUGCCCAGUAUUUCUGCCAAUUCUCACUUCUGUAUGAGUUAUUAUAUACAUAUAUCAGUGUAUGUAUAUAUCGGUGUACUGUGGAAGAUUGGAAUAUGUGUUCAUGAUCUUCUGUUGUUAGAUCGAUUUGUAUGAAUAUCAUGCAUAGAAUGCUUCUAACUCGACCUUUUGAUUUGAUCAAUUUAUUCAUAUGCAUAUUUUUUUUAUAUUCUUUUCAUUAUUUCACCUUCCAAUCUUAUUUUAAUUUACAUUAUCGUCU
rnacentral:lncRNA from 1 species